rnacentral:lncRNA from 1 species
AGAGAUUGAAGAAACAACGGAGAUGAGUAAGAAUAAUUAAAUGGUUUAAUUAUUUAUGGAAAUGAUUAAUUAAUAUGUUAAUUAAUCAAACGAAUAAAGCUCGUUAAAAGACCUCGGGUUAGUUUUGGGCCGCAAGGCCCAAUGGGAUUUGAAUGUCAAGCCCAUUAACUCAACUUGUAUGACAACUUGAAUAAACAAAGGGCUGGAAAGCCCAAUAAACCCUUAAGGCCGGCCAAAUAGGGGAGGGUAGUGAACUUGCUUUAAUUGCAAGUUUGCCACUCCAUGGUGAGGUGGUAUAAAGGCAACUUUAUAGCCAUUUCAUCCUUAGGGUUUCUUUUGGAGAAAAUUGGAGAGAAAAUGUCUCUCCCUUUCUCUCUAAGAGGCAGGCCCCCUUGGAGGAGAUUAGCUAGCAAUCUUUCAUCCUCUAAGGUCACUCAUCUCUUCUUCAAGUCCCUUCUUGGUGCGGAAAAAUUAGAGGUUCUCAAUUUUGGGAACUUGGAGAAUCCUUUCUACCAUCCUCCUCCAAGAAAUCGAUGGAACUAAGAAGCAUGGAAUGAAGGCCCUCUCCUUGGGUGGUUAGUCUUUGCUUAUGCAAAAAGGAAUCUUUAAAGGUAUAAAGUUUCUCAAUUCACUUUGUUUUGAGUUGAGUCUUGGUUCACCCUUCUACCAGGCUUUGAAUUUCGUGGGUAAUGUUUUGUUUUGAGUGCAUACAAGCAUGAUUCCGCCUUUAAUUGUUAAUUGCAUGCUAUAGAUGUUGCUCAAAUGAACUUGUUUUUCACAAAAUUUCAUUCAGUUAGUGGCACUUGUCCACAACAUAAUACUACUCAUGUUGUAUGACAUUCACUGAAGAUCGCUCUCGGUUGGACUAUCACUUAUUUUGAAUAAACACAAGUCCGAAUACUUUGCAAAAGGUUUCAAAGAAUUCAGGAAAUGUAAGUUGAUGAGUAAGAUGUCUAAAGUAUUUACCUCCUUAGAUUUGAUCCAAGGAAAGUUAGCACUUUAGAACAGUUUCCUUGAAAGAUAUCAAGGAAAGAAGCAUCAUAUGAUAAUGGAUUUCUCCAUUAAGAGAAGAACGAACUCGAAUAAGAUUUAGUUCGUUGGAUGUUGUCAAUUACCUAUAUAUAGGAUAUAUACUUCUAAGACAAUAUGAUUGUCAAUUAGAAGAUCUUCCAAAAUUUUCAUGACUCCAUAGGAUGUAGUUCGAAAGAAAGACAAAUCUUAAUCAUGUUAAGAUUUGGGGUUGUAUGCUAAUAAGCAAUAUUUGUUUAGAGAAAUAUCUUGUGGGUAUCCUUAAAUUAACAUUUGGAUAUCACUUCUAUAAACCAACUAACAAAUGUUGUCUGUUAGGUAGUUCAUCGUAAUCCUACACUAGAAUGGGUUCUUUGAGAGACAAGAUAGUGAUCAACAAAUAUAACAACCUAGUUCCUAUACCACAAGCUCCAAGGUAGUCGAGAAGGAUUUAUAAACUGUCUCAGUUGAAUGUGAACUUUAUGAUUAUGUCAUAGAGUUACACCUCUUAAUUCGAAAGAAAUAAGAAUGAAAAUCCUUAUGACCACAUUGAUUGUAUAUACGACAUAUACUCAAGAAAAUGGUAAAGUACCAUUUGACCCGAAUUACUGAAACCUUUAUAGCUAAUUGGUUGCUUAAGGUGACUAUAAUUAAAGAGAUUGGUUGACUUUAGUAUGUUCCAAUAUGAAUGAAGAGAUAAUCAGAUAUCUCUUUCUUAUGACUAAAGAGAUAUUUGGAUGAAAACAUUAAAAGUAAUGACUUUAGUAUGUUCCAUUAUGAAUGCAAAAUAUUUUGCCAUAUAGAAGCUUAAAACAAUGUUGUUUGGAUGGGAAAGUUCAUUUAUGAACUCUCUAUUCGGUUCCAACCAGAAAGUGUAUCCAGUGUACCGACACUAUGACACUAAUGGGGCGGUAGCUCAAGCCAAGGAAUCAAGGUCUCAUCAAGAUCCGAACUCAAAUGAAAGACUAAACCACAUGUUUAAGAAUCAUGUAUAAUGGUGACGUCGUUAUUCUCAAGGUUGCUUCUAUGGAUAACAUAUAGAUGUUGGAAAUGUGCCCUAAAGCCAAUCAUGUGAUGAUACUUUAUGGACAUUUCACAUGUUAAACUAAUCUAGUUUAACAUAUAAAGGGCAUAGAUUAUUGUUUGAGCCGUCUCAUAUAAAUGUUAUAUGCUUAAACGAUAAAGUCCAAGGAAUUUGUGAUUGAGAGAAUGUAAUCUAAUGAAGUUAGAUUCUUGAGACCAUUCUUUCGUAGACACAUCCUAAACGUUCCUGAUCAUAGGAUUGCCAAUUGGGCAUUGACAGUCCGUCAAGAUCGGUACGUACUAUGUCUUCUCUCAGGGAGAGUGAUAAGUCUCGAAUCAUUGGUGUGUGUGACAUCAAGACAAGUACGGUAGGUGCUCAAUAGAGAAUGAGUUCACUGAACGCGAUCAACGAAGAGUUCUCAUAUUCCAUGUCACAUAAGAACUCAUGGUUGGGAUAAUGCAAAGUAGUCCUUUGACCUGAGGCAUCAUAGUUGUCUUGUGGUUAAGACCUUGAUCUUUGAUUAUGUCAAAGUCAUCCCACCAGGAGGGUGUCCACGGCAUCGUUGGGGUCAAGCCGCUUAGCUAUGGAGACAAGUGAAUGCGCAACAAGGGAUCUCUAACCUUCAAACCGUUUGAGGGAGAAUACUCUAUGAUAUGAUUUGAAUCUUUGGCCAAAGUAUGAAUGAGAUUAGGGAAUGCGUUCCGAAUCACAUUCAAGGUAAUCAUAUAAGCACAAGACACACAUUGGAUAGUAGACAUGAGAAAAUAAACUAUCAAACCAAACAAUGUGGUCAAGAGUAUUAGAUUAGAGAAGGACCGUAUUGCAUUUGUAAUCUCGAACUGAAUAGGUUCUCUUAACCUCUUCUGAUUAGCUUGGGUAACCAUGACAUGCUGCUAGGUGUCACUCAUGGUUUGUGGAAGCCCUAAACGUGUAUAAUCACUAAAGGGAGAAUUGAAAAUAGUUUCAAUUCACAAUCGAUGUAAAAUGGUUUUAAUCGCCCACUACCUCGCUAAAAGGAACCUAAUGGAUCGCACACCGUGAAAGGUGGAGAUUGGAGAUUAAACGGAAAUGAGUAAGAAUGAUUAAAUGGUUUAAUCAUUUAUUUAUGGCAAGGAUUAAUUAAUAUGUUAAUUAAUCAAACGAAUAAGUUCGUUAAAGACUUCGGGAUAGUUUUGGACCUUAAGGCCCAAUGGGCUUCGAACGUCAAGCCCAUUAACUUAAGUUGUAUGACAAUUUAAUGAAUGAAAGAUUCAUUAAAGCCCAAAAGCCCAAAUCCCAUAAGGUGGCCGGCCAUAUUAGAUGAAUUAGGGUUGUUUGGUUAUUUAGGUCACUUAAAGAAGUGACUAUAUAAAUGACUUUAUAACUAAAUAUUCAUUAAGUGAAAAAAUGGGUUUAUUUUUGGGGAAAAUAGGUGAGAAUUGUCUCUCCAUUUUCUCUCUAAAGAGGCCAACACCUUGGAGGGUACAUCUAGCAAUCCUACUACUUCCAAGGUCACUCAUUUCUUCUACAAUCGAACCUUGGUGUCGAGAAUUAGAGGUUCUCAAUUUUGGGAACUUGGAGAACCUAUUCUUCCAUCCAAAUCCAUGGAUCUAAGAAGCAAGGAAUGAAGGCCCUUAUCUCUUUGGGUGAUUAGCCUUUGCUUAUGCAAAGAGGAAUCUACAAAGGUAUUAAUUUCAACUCACUUAUGUUUUGAGUUGAUUAUUGGUUCACCAAUCUACUAGGCUUUGAAUUUCAUGGGUAAAUGUUUUGUUUUUGAGUGCAUGUAAGCAUGAUUCCGCCUUUAAUUGUUAAUUGCAUGCUAUAUGAUGUUGCUCAAAUGAACAUGUUUUACAAAAUAAAUCCUUCAAGUGGUAUCAGAGCCUAGGUCUAGUAGUUGGUGAAAUCCUUUUGUGUUUUGUAGUUCAUAAGUUUGUGAUCUAAAAGUUGUAAUUGUUACAAGCUUUAUUCUUGCUUCUUUGAAAGUAAAUUUUGUUGGAAAAUUUGCUAUCUCAAAUGUUGUAGAUGUUGUUCAUAUGAGCAUGAAUAUUGGAGCUAAAAUUUGGUGCCAUGCUUUUGGGAAAAUUCGGCCAAAAUCAAAGGGUGAUUUUUUGGGUUCUUAUUUGACUUGUUAAAAGUGUUUUAAUGUGUUCUUUUGGAACCCCUAAGUACCCUAGUUUGGUUUAGAUGUUAUUUCCCUUAAGUAAGAAUGGUUUUGGAAUGUUUUUUGGUGGAAAAAGUUCAUGGAAAAAUUUGGGUUUUUCAUGGAUGUUCUUCAUUGUUCUUGAUGUUCUUGCCAAGAACAAAAAGGUUUGGUGUUUUGAUUCAAAGUUUUGAAUUAUUUCAUAAAGUAUAUGUGAUAUGUUUUUAAAUGAUUUAUUAUGUAUUUAAAGUGUUAGAUAUUUGUAUAAAUGAUGAUUGAAAUAAUUGUGAUUGAAUUAUUUCAUAAACUUAUCUUACAUACACUUGCAUGUUUUUUGACAAAAACUCACUAAAUCAACACACACACACAACCUUAUCCCUCCCAAAACCAGCCACUCCCUCAAAGGGAGUACUUUUGGGGCUUUUAUGCAAUUACAUAAAGUUUUUGAUACUUUUGUGUAUUUGCACUUUGGCCCAAAAGUUUACGUUUUUACGUUAAGGUCCAAAAACGCUAAAGGACAAAUUGUUUUGAUCCUUUAAUGAUGUUUUUGCAUUAUUAAAAGUUUGGGUUCUAGUUGUAUUUACAUGAAGUUGUGACUUUUGUGUAUUAUACAAAGUGACCCCAAAAGUUUUUGUUAUUGCAAUAUGGCCCAAAAGUUGAGGUUAAUUGCAUGAUGGCCCAAAUAGGAUGAGAACAAAAUUGUUUUGUCUCUUUAAAUGAGAAUUGGAUUUUCAUUUUGUUUAGCUCCAUUUAAAUCAAUCUUAUGGAUACAAAAACCAAAUGAAAAUGUUGCAUUCAAUUAAUUAGUUAAAGUGUUAAUUAAUUAAAGGGUGAUUAUGAACCUAAGCCUAAUAUAAUUGAGCUAUGUGAAAGGCGUUUCAAAUUUGUUUGAACCAUGGGAAUGUGUAGAUUAGAUUUUGGUUGUAAUUUGAUUUGAUCAAAUGUUGUAAAAGGGCUUAAGCUCUUCUUUACUUUAAAGUAAUUUGUUAUAUGCAAAUGUUGUAAUGAGCAUAAGCUCACCUUUACUUUGAAGUACUUCUUUCUUGCUUUAUACGAUAUGCAUGAAAAUGAAGUAGUUGGGUCCAACGCCCCUAAGACAACACGCCUUAAUGUGAUUAAACGCGUAACUAAAAUCAAUCACCAUUCCUAGACCGAGAUUCAACACAAGGCUCGUGUUGAAUCUAAACAAAGGUUCAUAAUCAUCCUUAGGCCCUAAGGCAACUAUGUAGUCCAUCAAAUGAAUGCAAAGUUUAUGUUAGUAGUAUCAUAUACUCUUGCUUUAAAAAUCGUUUUAAAAGCAUAGUGGGAGUAUUAUGUACAACUAAAACAAAGGGAUGGACCAAUAGUUGUAAUAGGACCAAAAUAGUUUUAAUAGAGAUUAAAGUGUAUGUUUAUAUGUGAUGAGACACAAAACCCUCAACCAAACCAAUAUUAAGUUGAUAAGCGGAUAGUGCUUUGAACACUCUUUCGUGGCCUUCCACCGUGGUAGGCUCCGAUCGUUUGUGACUCGUACACCGGCUUCACCCUAUAAUGGGGGAGUACAAAGUGCGUGCUUACACUCAGGAGGAGUUCUAUAUACAUACAUGAUGAAGUGAGGUAGGCAACGAGUUUAGCCAACAUGAUAUAAUUCUGAGGCUAUGCUUGAACCCCUACACGAACUAGGCAUGGUGGGAAUGACUUAACUAAGUGCAAUGACGCCAACAUGAUAUAAUUCUGAGGCAUCACUCUCUAGAGGCCAAAUAAGAUGGGUACUUGCAUUAGUUGCAAAUGAGUAAGCGUACUCUCUCAUUAUUAUUAAUGCUAGCCAACAUGAUAUAAUUCUGAGGUGGGCUUGGUAAUAGUGAGCCUCCCAUAACCUACUAGGAGUUUCAUCCAAAACUCUCGAAUUCCUAUGAGGGAUAUGGAAUUUGCCAAAAAUAGUGGGUGGUGCUAUUUGAUUUAAAGACCCAAAUCAAAUGGCUUAAAAUCAAUCAAUCUAUAUUCGUUAUGUAUUUGAUUACCAAUAUAUUUGCAAACGCUAUCCAACACUUGACAAAACCGAACGUUUAGUUUACGGACUUGGUACUACAAAACCAUAGAUUGUCUUUAAUGGCUUGUAAAAGUACCAAAGUAGUCUCAUCCUCACAAUCUUACUAUUGAUAAUGUAUCAUUAGAAGAAUAUGUUAGAAAAGGUCUAUCAUAACGAGGACAACACUUUUAAUGUCAUAAUUCUUCAAUUACAAUUUGUUGUAUGAAGAAAUAGGAGUUGCUUUGAACAACUCUUAGUCAAUGCAAACACUUAGUGCUUGUUUCUUUGUUACAUGAACAAGGAACUUGAGAAGAAAGCACAAAGGCAUGAACACUUAAUGUGCCAUGAUUCUUCAUUUACAAUUGUUGUAUGAAGAAAUGAGAGUUGCCUUGUACAACUCUUGAAGGUUUGUAAUUAUGUUUAGAACAUAAUGGUUGGUUGACAAAAAUAGUCCAUUAACAUGGACUUAUGAUGAUUUUUGAAUCAUUGAAUGUUGAAGUGAUAAAUCACUUAACGAGACGGAAACUAGGCAAGGACUUCACCUUUGUGUCCCUAUCCUAAUGGUUUACUAAGUUUAUUGUAAACUAUGUAGUGAACAAUAACCACAUGCUCUCCAAAAUUGUUUGAUGUGUAUAACACAAUUGAAAGAGGUUUCAAGAGAGAUAGUGGGAGUUUAAGGACCAUGUCUAAUGUAGUCAAAGGUGAAAGUCAGAUAAAGAAGAUAAAUAACUCCAAGGGAACAAACUUUCUUUAUGAAAGGAUGGACAUUGGAAGGGGUAUUUGCAAGAAAUGUCUUGCAAGUGUCAAGAACACACCUUUCGAAGGUGUUGUAAAAUGUUCUUGAAAAGUUCAAAACAGUUGGUUCUUCUACUUGAAUGCAUGAUUCCGUAUUAGUAACAAAGCUUUUACAAUCGUUGUAAAAAGUGACUAAUAAGAAGUAGAAGAUAUAUGAGAGAAGAGAAGGUGCUUCACAUUCGGAAACGUGAAUCAAAUGUAGAUCUCUGCGAAAGCAGAUGGUACUUACUUCCUCAUAUGAACUACCAAAGAAAUUGGAAAAACAUAGAUUGUCUUUGUAUUCCAAUUUUAAGGAACUAAAUUCCGUCACUAUGUGAAAUGGAUAAAUGUUUUGUUUGACAAAACAAUGUUCUUUAUUAAUCAAUGAUUGGAUUAUGGUAAUCUAAUUAAUUAUCUCUAUAAUAGAGAUAAUAUGGUGGUGUUAACUGUUUAGAAAAUAAUGAUGCUUAAAACCCAAAAGGUUGCAAGGUAGUGACUAAUCCCAACUAAAGUUGUGAUACCUCUAAAACAUAAAUUACGAGUUGGUGAAAGAUGGAUGCUUUGGAUCGUUAGAUCCGGAUCCAAUACCUUCUUGUUAAAAUUGUAUAGAGACGAAAUGUUCGAAUCUUUAUUCUUUUGGAAAGAAGAAAGAAUCACAAAGUUGUUGAGGGUAAUUCACUUUGAUGUUUGUGGCACUUGUCCACAAACAUAUUACUACUCAUGUUGGAUAACAUUCACCGAAGAUCACUCUCGGUUGGACUAUAGUUUAUUUUGAAUAAACACAAGUCCGAAUACUUUGCAAAAUGUUUCAAAGAAUUCAAGAAAUGUAAGUUGAUGAGUAAGACAUCUAAAGUAUUUACCUCCUUAGAUUUGAUCCAAGGAAAGGUAACUUUAGAUGAGUUUCCUUGAAAGAUAUCAAGGAAAAUAGCAUCAUAAGAUAAUGUAUUUCUCCAUUAGGAGAAGAACGAACAAGAAUAAGAUUUAGUUCGUUAAAUGUUAUCUAUUACCCAUAUAUAGGAUAUAUACUUCUAAAAACAAUAUGAUUGUCAAUGAGAAGAUCUUCCAAUAUUUUCAUGACUCCAUAAGAUGUAGUUGGAAAGAAAGACAAAUCUUAAGCAUGUUAAAGAUUUGGGGUUGUGUGCUAACAAGCAAUAUUUGUUUGAUAACAAUCUUGUAGGAUAUCCUUAAAAUAACUUUUGGAUAUCGCUUCUAUAAACCAACUAACAAUUGUUGUUUUGUUGGGUAGUUCAUUGUAAUUCUACAAUGUGAUUUGCCUAAAAGCAAAUGAACGAGAGAUAGAACUCAAAGAAUGGGUUCUUUGAGAGACAAGAAAGUAAUCAACAAAUAUAACAACCUAGUUCCUAUACCACAAGCUCUAAGGUAGUCGAUAAGAAUUUAUAAACCGUCUCAGUUGAAUGGUUUUGAACUUUAUGACUAUGUCAUAGAGUUGCACCUCUUACUUCGAAAGAAAUAAGAAUGAAAAAUCCUUAUGACUACAUUGAGUGCAUAUACGAUAUAUACUCAAGGAAAUGGUAAAGUACCAUUUGACUCGAAAUAAUGAAACCUUCAAAGCUAAUUGGUAGCUUAAGGUGACUACAAUCAAAUAGAAUGGUUGACUUUAAAGGAACCAUUUUUGACGUAGUCUUAGUUUCAAUAAAUUCAAAGAUUGCUAACUACAACUAAAUGGUGAUUCAAUGUUUGGACAUAAUAUGGGUUUCCGAAACCAUUAUUAAGACAGUCUUGAUAAUAUAUGUCUAAAACUAUAAAUCACAAGACAUGUAAGUUGUAGAGAUCCAUCCAUCAUGGAUCUUAGCAAGUUAGUGGGAGCUAUUUGCAUUUUAUGAGAAAAAGGAUCAAAUCGUUUGAUUUCUCAUAUAGAUGUAAAUGAAUCUUUUGUUUACUAGUUUUACAAAAGAUUAGUGGGAGUUAAUCAUGUUCCUAAAAAUUUAAAUAUAUAUGAUAUAUUAAUUUUGGAAAUGAAAAGAAUACUUCUUCGUUAAAGUUAUGACUUUAAUACAUUAUAUGAAGAUAGAAUGUAUUUGGGAGAUAUAGUCUAUAUACAUGGGAUGGAAAUCUAUAAUGAUAUAUUUCAUGAUAUAAUUGGAUUAUAUCAAUCCCUAAUAAAUAGACAAUGGAUGCUAGGAAGUUUCUCAUAUGAUGAUAAACUUCAAUAUGAAGGACGAUUCUAGUGAGACUAGCAAGUUGCCCUUCUCAAAAAAGGGAAUGUACCAUUUGACUCCCAAAGAAAUAAUGCGUAAAUUGAAUCCUUUAUGCAUACGCAGAAAGGUGAUUUAUGUAUUUCAU